UGAGACACGGCCCCCACUCCUACGGGAGGCAGCAGCAGGGAAUCUUGCACAAUGGGCGAAAGCCUGAUGCAGCGACGCCGCGUGAGGGAUGAAGGUUUUAGGAUCGUAAACCUCUUUUCUUAGGGAAUAGUUUGGAAGGUACCUAAGGAAUAAGUCACGGCUAACUACGUGCCAGCAGCCGCGGUAAUACGUAGGUGGCAAAUGUUGUCCGGAAUCAUUGGGCGUAAAGGGUCCGUAGGUGGCAUAAAAAGUCUUAUGUGAAAUCUCUUGGCUCAACCAAGAAACGCCAUAAGAAACUUUUAUGCUAGAGAUCAUCAGAGGGAGGUAGAAUUCCAGGUGUAGUGGUGAAAUGCGUAGAUAUCUGGAGGAAUACCAAUGGCGAAAGCAGCCUCCUGGGGUGAAUCUGACAUUGAGGGACGAAAGCGUGGGUAGCAAACCGGAUUAGAUACCCGGGUAGUCCAUGCCGUAAACGAUGAAUACUGGGUCUUCGGGGAAUCGACCCCCUGUGGACCGAAGCUAACGCGUUAAGUAUUCCGCCUGGGGAGUACGGUCGCAAGACUAAAACUCAAAGGAAUUGACGGGGGCCCGCACAAGCAGCGGAGCGUGUGGUUUAAUUCGAUGGUAAACGAAGAACCUUACCUAGGUUUGACAUAUAAGUAGUACUGACCCGAAAGGUGAUGGACCCGCAAGGGAGCUUAUACAGGUGCUGCAUGGUUGUCGUCAGCUCGUGCCGUGAGGUGUUGGGUUAAGUCCCGCAACGAGCGCAACCCUCGUGGAUAGUUGUUUUCUUUAUCCAGACUGCUUUUACAAGAGGAAGGUGGGGAUGACGUCAAAUCAUCAUGGCUCUUACACCUAGGGCUACACACACGCUACAAUGGACAGUACAGACGGUUGCUAAGUCGCAAGAUGGAGCCAAUCCGAUAAAGCUGUCCCCAAUUGGGAUUGUAGGCUGAAACUCGCCUGCAUGAACCUGGAGUUGCUAGUAACCGCAGAUCAGAAUGCUGCGGUGAAUACGUUCCCGGGCCUUGUACACACCGCCCGUCACGUCAUGGAAGUUUGAAACACUUGAAGUCGCUGGGCUUACCUUUUAGGAGGCAGGCGCCGAGAGUGGGGCAAAUGACUGGGACGAAGUCGUAACAAGGUAGCUGUACCGGAAGGUGCGGCUG
rnacentral:rRNA from 1 species